GACGAACCGUGCAAACGUUAUUCGGAUUCACUGGGCUUAAAGCGUGCGUAGGCGGUCUUGUUAGUCAGGUGUGAAAGCCCUCAGCCCAACUGAGGAAUUGCGCUUGAUACUGCAUGACUUGAGAGAGAUAGAGGUGGGUGGAACUGAUGGUGGAGCGGUGAAAUGCGUUGAUAUCAUCAGGAACACCAGUGGCGAAGGCGACCCACUGGGUCUCUUCUGACGCUGAGGUACGAAAGCUAGGGUAGCGAACGGG
rnacentral:rRNA from 1 species